rnacentral:rRNA from 1 species
GACGAACCGUGCGAACGUUGUUCGGAAUCACUGGGCUUAAAGGGCGCGUAGGCGGGUUGCCAAGUCUGUGGUGAAAUCCUCCAGCUUAACUGGAGAACUGCCGUGGAUACUGGCGAUCUUGAGGGAGAUAGGGGCGUGCGGAACUGUGCGUGGAGCGGUGAAAUGCGUUGAUAUGCACAGGAACUCCGGUGGCGAAGGCGGCACGCUGGAUCUCUUCUGACGCUGAGGCGCGAAAGCUAGGGUAGCGAACGGG